rnacentral:misc_RNA from 1 species
GCAGACUUGAACGUUGCGGUUUCAGGUCCUUUGGCAGAUUAACUGAAUUAAAUUAAAUAUCAGAAUAUAAUAUUUACAACGUAAGAAGAUAACAACGCGUGUCUUAUAGGAUUUUGGAGGGAUCGUCGCGCAUAGCGGAAUAUGGCGGUGUGCAGCGGUGUUUGAUGCGGUCGGACACAGUGGUUGCGAUACGUUCGAUCAUUUUCGAUGCUGCGCCGACGACCGUGACAGGCCAGCGAGUGGUCAUUAGUGCAUAUUUGCACGCCGCUGCAAAGUAACGGUCGGUAAAGUUUUGACUCGGAAAGGAAACGUUGCACGACACAUAUCAGGGACAGGUGCAAGAUGUCGAAGCCGGAUGAGAAUGCCGACACCGGCGACACCGGGGAUAACUCGAACGCUUCCUCGGCGGAGACCACGUCGUCACGAGGAGGCGACUUCGAAACGAAACUCGAAACGGAUCGAAGCAAGCGGUUCGACUAUUUACUAAAGCAGACCGAGAUAUUCUCGCAUUUUAUGACAAAUAAUCAGAAAGACAAAGCCGGCAGUCCACUGAAAAUCAGACCUGGUCGACCCAGGAAGCAGCCCCCGGAGAUUCCCAAAUUAGACUCUGGCGAUCACAGACAUCGUAAGACCGAGCAGGAGGAAGAUGAGGAACUGUUAGCCGAGAGCAACGCUAGCGUAGCGCCCACUACACGUUUUGAAUCAUCGCCGCAUUACAUCAAGUCUGGAGAGUUGCGCGAUUACCAGAUACGCGGUUUGAAUUGGAUGAUAUCGCUGUACGAGCAUGGUAUAAACGGCAUUCUAGCAGACGAGAUGGGUCUCGGCAAGACACUGCAGACCAUCUCUUUGCUUGGCUACAUGAAACAUUUUCGCAACAUUCCUGGUCCGCAUAUCGUCAUUGUGCCAAAAUCCACGCUAGCCAAUUGGAUGAACGAGUUUAAGAAAUGGUGUCCCAGCUUGAGAGCUGUCUGUCUCAUUGGUGACGCAGAGACCAGAAACACCUUCAUCAGAGAUGUAAUGAUGCCUGGCGAGUGGGACGUAUGCGUGACGUCUUACGAGAUGGUUAUCAAAGAGAAAUCGGUGUUCAAGAAGUUCAACUGGCGCUACAUGGUGAUAGACGAGGCGCACAGAAUAAAGAACGAAAAGUCCAAGCUGUCGGAGAUACUCAGGGAAUUCAAGACCACUAAUCGGCUCUUGUUGACAGGCACGCCACUGCAAAAUAAUCUUCACGAGCUGUGGUCCCUGCUGAAUUUUCUCCUACCGGAUGUAUUCAACAGUUCCGACGAUUUCGACUCGUGGUUUAACACGAAUAGCUUUUUAGGCGACAAUUCUCUGGUCGAGAGGUUACACGCAGUCCUGAGACCGUUUUUAUUGAGGCGCUUGAAGUCUGAGGUGGAAAAAGGGCUGAAACCUAAGAAGGAGAUCAAAGUAUACAUUGGCUUGAGUAAAAUGCAACGAGAAUGGUAUACCAAAGUACUAAUGAAGGAUAUAGAUAUCGUGAACGGCGCGGGCAAGAUAGAGAAGAUGAGAUUGCAAAACAUCCUCAUGCAGUUGCGCAAGUGCUGCAACCAUCCGUAUUUAUUCGACGGCGCCGAGCCCGGACCGCCGUACACCACCGACGAGCAUCUUGUCUACAACUGCGGCAAGAUGGUGAUACUCGACAAAUUAUUGCCGAAGCUGCAGCAGCAGGAGUCCCGUGUGCUGAUCUUCAGUCAGAUGACAAGAAUGCUAGACAUCUUGGAAGAUUACUGUCACUGGCGGUGCUUCCAGUAUUGCCGGCUGGACGGUAACACAGCGCACGAGGAUCGGCAACGGCAGAUCAACGAAUAUAACGCGCCCGGCAGCGAGAAGUUCAUCUUCAUGCUGUCAACCCGCGCGGGCGGUCUCGGUAUCAAUCUGGCGACCGCCGACGUGGUCAUCAUUUACGAUUCCGAUUGGAAUCCACAAAUGGAUCUGCAGGCGAUGGACCGCGCGCAUCGUAUAGGCCAGCAGAAACAAGUGCGGGUUUUCAGGUUUAUCACGGAGAACACGGUGGAGGAGAAGAUCGUCGAGCGAGCGGAAGUGAAGUUGCGGCUGGACAAGCUCGUCAUUCAACAGGGACGGCUGGUCGACGCCAAGCAGACGGCGUUGAACAAAGACGAGAUGCUCAAUAUGAUCAGGCACGGCGCGAACGAGGUAUUCGCGUCCAAGGACAGCGCGAUCACCGACGAAGACAUAGACACCAUAUUGGAAAAGGGCGAGGCGAAAACGGAGGAGAUGAAACAGAAACUCGAGAGCCUGGGGGAGUCGUCGUUGCGCAAUUUCACCGUCGACGCGCCGACGGACUCGGUGUAUCAGUUCGAGGGUGAGGAUUACCGCGAGAAGCAAAAGAUCCUCGGGAUCGGCAAUUGGAUAGAGCCGCCGAAGCGCGAGCGUAAGGCCAAUUACGCAGUGGACGCGUACUUCCGAGAGGCGUUGAGAGUAUCCGAGCCGAAAGCCCCGAAAGCACCGAGACCACCGAAACAGCCGAUAGUGCAAGACUUUCAAUUCUUUCCGCCGCGGUUGUUCGAGCUGCUGGAUCAAGAAAUUUACUACUUCCGACAGACCGUCGGCUACAAGGUGCCGAAGAAUCCCGAGCUCGGUUCGGACGCGGCGCGAAUUCAGAAAGAGGAGCAACGCAAGAUCGACGACGCACAGCCGCUCACCGACGAGGAGGUCGUCGAGAAGGAGCGACUGCUGCUGCAGGGCUUCACCAACUGGACCAAACGGGACUUUAAUCAGUUUAUCAAGGCGAACGAGAAGUACGGUCGCGAUGACAUCGAGAAUAUCGCGAAGGAGGUGGAAGGUAAAACGCCGGAAGAGGUCGUGGAGUAUUCGGCUGUAUUCUGGGAACGUUGCCACGAGCUGCAAGACAUCGAUCGCGUGAUGGCGCAGAUAGAGCGCGGCGAGGCUAAAAUACAGAGGCGCGCCGGCAUCAAGAAGGCACUGGAUGCAAAGAUGGCGAGAUACCGCGCGCCCUUCCACCAGCUCAGGAUAGCGUAUGGCACGAACAAAGGUAAGAACUACACCGAGGAGGAGGACCGAUUUCUCGUUUGCAUGCUCCACAAGCUCGGAUUCGACAAGGAGAACGUGUACGAGGAGCUGCGGGCCACCGUGAGAUCGGCGCCGCAGUUCCGCUUCGAUUGGUUCGUCAAAUCGCGCACCGCGCUCGAGCUGCAGCGUCGCUGCAACACCCUCAUCACCCUGAUCGAACGCGAGAACCAGGAGCUGGAGGAACGCGAGAGACAGGAGAGGAGGAAGAAGGGCAGUAUAGGAACGAAACCGGCCUCAAAACGGAAGCAGGAGAAUCUGCCGGCGCCUCAAGACAAACCGCGGAAAAAGAAGAAGUAAACGUGUAUUUAGCGAGCUCCGAACUGUUGGAACUUGUCUCGCAGACUUUUCAUCGCGAUAUACAGGACUGAGUUCACUCGUUCACAACUGCUCGGAAGGAAAUACAAUAUCUCUAGGUUUGAGUUAUAUACAUAAAAUAUCGGUCAGCUGUUGAGAAUAUAUCGUACUUAUUAUACAAAAGCUCAGCAAUAAGCAUGAUGCUCCGACACACUUGACUGUAAAUGCACGAAUGUAUUGCGACGAAUGUGUACUACAAAAAAAAUUCAUUUUUAUUUAUUGAUAAAUAAAAAGAAAACGAUGAGAGUGUAAAGUUUGGACUGAAACAUUUAUAUCUUCGUUUUCGUUAUGCGGAAAAAUAAUAGAUCAAAUACGAAGAACUGACUAGAUAUAAAAUUUCUCUCUCUUUCACACAAUGCAAAUACAGGUCGAAAAAUAUGACGUACAUUAUGGAAAUGUACACAUUAAAAAUGAAGCAUUAUGA